AGUGAACGCUGGCGGUAGGCCUAACACAUGCAAGUCGAACGGCAGCACAGUAAGAGCUUGCUCUUACGGGUGGCGAGUGGCGGACGGGUGAGGAAUACAUCGGAAUCUACUUUUUCGUGGGGGAUAACGUAGGGAAACUUACGCUAAUACCGCAUACGACCUACGGGUGAAAGCAGGGGAUCUUCGGACUUUGCGCGAAUGAAUUAGCCGAUGUCGUAUUAGCUAGUUGGGGGGGGAAAGGCCCACCAAGGCGACGACCCGUAGCUGGUCUGAGAGGGUGAUCAGCCGCACUGGAACUGAGACACGGUCCAGACUCCUACGGGAGGCAGCAGUGGGGAAUAUUGGACAAUGGGCGGAAGCCUGAUCCAGCCAUACCGCGUGAGUGAAGAAGGCCUUCGGGUUGUAAAGCCCUUUUGUUGGGAAAGAAAAGCAGCAGGUUAAUACCCCGCUGUUCUGACGGUACCCAAAGAAUAAGCACCGGCUAACUUCGUG
rnacentral:rRNA from 1 species